rnacentral:lncRNA from 1 species
AGCAAAGCCCUAGCUGCAUGAUUGAUACAUCCACUGGCCAAUGAGCGCUGAGAUUACGUCUCCCGGGCGGUAGUGCACGUAGAGCUGAUUUGCAACCCGCCGAAGCUCCAGCAGAGAAGGAGGAAAAAUGUCGCUGGAGUCGACGCGGACCGUUCUAGGAUCAGUGAGCUCUUAGGAGAAAACGCACAGCAGUUCGAACAAACCUGUGGCGCUGACAUGGACUGUUUGACACUUUUGUUUGGCCAACACUACACAAGCCUCUGAAGGUUACUUGGUCUAAUAAUCACAGCCUCCUGACCCCCCAGCUACCGUGGUUCAGUUCCAGCCCAAGCAUGGACCAGUCUGCCAGAGUGGUGAGUCUGGAUGCCCAGGGCAACAUGGUUUUCACCGUAGUGAAGCCGGUCAUGGGCAUCUUUCAGGUUUCCUCAGAGCCAGGAAACAGUGUGGCACAAGCCAGCAUGGACCUACAGGGCUUGUCAGAAAGCACGCUGGUCCUCCCGCAAAUGCCAGGACAGGCCCUGCUCGAGCCCAACCAGGUGGAAAUGCACGCCAUGCAGCCUCACGUCCAGCCCCAGGUGCCGGGUUCUGGCCCGGUCCAGUCUGAGGGUGCCUCGCAGAGUCAGGAGCUGGCAGCAAACUCCAGCUCGACCUCCGGGACCCAGAUGCCGUUUGCAGAAGUGUCGUCACUGCUGGAUCCCAACAUGAAAGGCUCCAAAGCUCGCAAGUAUCUCAUCUCGUAUGAAGAAAUCAAACGGCGCCUGCAGGCCCCAGAGAGGAUGUCCCUGCGCUCGCUGGCGGCGUACACCCGCGUCAGCAGAGGCCCGGCCAGCAAGAAAACGCUGCUGGAGUCGCUCAAUGUGCUGGGCCUGACGCCGAGCACGACCACGUCCGUCUCCUCCGCCUUCUCCAAACUCACGGAAGGCGACACCAGAGCUCUGUGCGACGACAUGAAAGACUUCGCCCAAGACUACAUCGACUACGGCAACAUGGCGAAGCAGCUCAUCCCUGAGACCAAUACAGUGCAACACUGGUCCAAAAUCAUUGAAACCAAAAACCACCUUGAAGACAUGAGGAAAUGCUUCAAGGACCCGGUCAACGGCGGCGCCUUCGACAGCGUCACCCACGGCCUCGGUCUGGGAAUGCUGGAUGUGGCGCUGGACGUGGUCGUCAUGGUGAUCGAGCAGCAGAUCCGCAUCCUUUCCGGCGCGGCGGCGUCAGAGCCCGCCGACUCUGGCCCAAUGAUGCGACGCGUCCGCCGGCGCCACCGCAAAGUCCGCUCCCACGACCACGAGGUGGCGGCCGCGGUCAAGGAGGAAGGAAAGGGCCUCAGCCAAGGAAGGGGACGAGGCAAGAUGAGGAAGAGGCCCCGGCGGGAACAGGGAGCGCUUGGCUGUGUGGAAGGCCAAGCGGAGCAGAGCAAGCCGCACGAUGUUCUGACGCUGGUGUCCGUGGGAUACGAGACGGUCUCCAGUGGCCUCAGUGCAGCUGGACCCGUUUGACACCGGCCCGACUGGUCCACAGAACCAGGGAGGGAGGUCAAACCCCUCAUUGCCCAGUCGCCACCAGCCCUCAGGUAGCUGCUAGCAUCCUCACCGGUCCCAGAGGAACCGUUAAUUAGCCCGUAGUGACUGAAGGACUAGAACUAGCAACCUACGAGUCGACGGACGGCAGGUUUAAGACUGUGAUAUCAAACCUGUCACUUAGUUUUUUACACUUUUCUUCAUAAAUGUGAUAUAAUGUGUUUCCUAAUGAGCUUCAUGGCUUCAGGUUGCAGCAUGUUUGCACUGAGCCGGCUCUGGUGAGUCUUCAUUAGCAGGUUUGGUGUCUGGUCACAGGAGCAGCUGAUACUUCACAUACAUGUAUGUAUAUGUGUUACGUAUGUUUAGAUUUGUUGCAUUAGCUCAAUAAAACAAAAUCAUCUUCACA